rnacentral:rRNA from 1 species
AUUGAACGCUGGCGGCAGGCUUAACACAUGCAAGUAGAACGAGUGGCGGACGGGUGAGUCAUGCUUGGGAAUCUAGCUUAUGGAGGGGGCUAACUACGGGAAACUGUAGAUAAUACCGCGUACCAUAGGAUGAGCCCAAGUGGGAUGAGGUAGUUGGUGAAGUAAAGGCUCACCAAGCCGACGAUCUCGAGCUGGUCUGAGCGGAUGACCAGUCGCACUGGGACUGAGUCACGGCCCAGGCUCCGACGGGAGGCAGCAGUGGGGAAUAUUGCGCUAUUGGGGCAACCUGACGCAGGCAUGACGCAUGAAUGAAGAAGGCCUUCGGGUUGUAAAGUUCUUUCGGUAGCGAGGCGUUGAAUACAGAAGAGGCACAGGCUAACUCCGUGCCAGCAGCCGCGGUAAUAG